UCUGUUAAUAACAGUUAUAAUUAUAUAUUCAAAUUAAUAAAUGAAGAUUGCUAAAAUUGCCUAUAUACUUGUUAGCAGUUAAAGAAGAAAAAUUUUUUCCAUUUGCUUCUAUAAGUAGACAUCACAUGAUUACUUCUAUUGACCAAUAAGAAACUAGUAAAAUCAGGCAGUCACCCACCAUUCUUUUCUAAUGUUCUUUUUCUUAUUCUAUUCAACCUUUUCAGUAUAUUCUUAAGAAGCCAAAUCAAGAAAUUAGACAUUCAUGCCUAAAAUAAAAUUGCGUUACCUUAUACAUCAUGAACAGGAACCUGUUGUAUAUAACACGGGUAUUCAAAGCUUUAUUGUCUUUUUCUAGAACCCUUUAACAUAAAGGCAGCUCAGAUUCAAGAUUAGAAAACUGAAUUCAACAGGCAGGAACACGCAUACGAAACCAGUAAGAACUACUAAUCACGACCUCUCAAAAUGUCAUGAACCAUAUAGAUAGAAAUAACCCCCCUUUUGCUGUACUAAUGUAAUCCAAUAGAACAAACUUAAAAUUCGUGACACAAAUGUAAGAAACAAAAAACAAAAAUCUAUUGCCAUUGUAAUCUACCCUUCCCAAUCAGGAGAGGUGUUUCCGACGCAUUACUUGAACUUUCAUUUUGUACAACUUUCAUCUUGUAAGGUUCUAACUAAAUACUUGACAUCUUAAUGCAGAGGAAAGGAAAGGAGGGCAAGUAGACUAAUUCUGAAAGCAUCCCUUCAAAUUUCAUACAUGCUAUUCAGACUAAAUGGAAAUCUACAUCCAUGGAAAGUUAAUGUCGCAAUUCUACUAAACAGCCCAUUCUGAUUUUAUGUUUCUCCUCCACUAACAAGAAAAAAUAAAACAACCAAAUCUAGCUGUAUUACAUAUGUUUAGCUAAACUGAUAGCACUCAGCUCAUUUUUGUUAAUUACCUGGCUUCUUCUCAGUCUUUAUGCGGUAUUCUCGUGCUGCUCUUUUUUAGAACUCCUCACUGUUUAUGUGUUCUCUGUUCAACACAGUUGUUAGGGGUCUGUGAACAAUUUUUCAAUUCCCACACACGCAUAUGAUAUCUAUUAGGGAGCAAUGCCACUUUUCACUUACCAAUUCUGGAUAAAGGAGUAUUUCCUGGUGACAGAAUGCUGCUGCUUCCGUUCACUAAAACUCCCUCUUCGCAGCUUGAUAAAUCUGAUUAUAAAACGUCUUUGUUCCAGAUCACACGAGGCGCUUUUCCUACAAAAGUUUUCUAAAGAGUUAUCUGCAUUUCUUACAAAUGUUCCUUGUUUGGAUCUGUCGACUUCUUCUCCCCUCCCCCGACAUUUGGAGUCAAAAUAUGGGCUCAACCUCAUCCUUCAAACCUAAAGGCCCUAUUUUGAUCGUGCAAGACUGCAACAGCUCCUUCUCCCAGGCAAGCCCAGAACACUGUGCCGCUUGCCAUUCCCAAUUUAUGGAAGGAAGUGUAUGUCAAACAAACCAGGUGAUGACUCAGACUGCCUCCUCCAGCCACGUUUUCCCUAGAAUGGGAGGGUAGUUUAAGUGCAGCCCAUUUGGAUGUGACUCAGUUUUAUUAGACUGGUGGCUGUAGCUAAGCUGACAAGCUCACAUUUUUUUUAAAUAACUUGUACAUUUAGAGAUCAGGACGCACAUUCCAACUGGUUUCAAGAAUUGAAUCAUGUAAACAGGAGAGAUGCAAGAUUAUUUUUAAGGUAUGGCAACGCUCUGGCUCUGUUCCCUAAUAUUUUAAAUUUCAGAACUGUGCACUGAAAUUUU
rnacentral:lncRNA from 1 species